UGGACCAACGCUGAAGGCUGGUGAUGUAUAAGUUAUGAAUGAUGAAUAUUUGUGUCUGGAACUCUGAGGUCUAU